GGAGAGGUGGCUGAGCGGUCGAAGGCGAUGGAUUGCUAAUCCAUUAUACGGGUAAAACCGUAUCGAGGGUUCGAAUCCCUCCCUCUCCG
rnacentral:tRNA from 1 species